GUGGUGGAUUCGGAGGAUCUGGAGGCUAUGGCGGCAGAGGAUUCGGAGGUGGACAUGGAGGUUUCGGUGGAGGAUUUGGCGGCGGUCAUGGUGGAUUUGGAGGUGGACAUGGAGGAUUCGGAGGCGGUCAUGGAGGAUUCGGAGGUGGCUUUGGAGGACGUUAUGGAAAGUAAACUAUUCGACGAUCUGCCACCUCAGUGGAUUGUAUAUAAAAGAACGUCUUCCUUUUUCCUUAUUAAAAUAUAAAUUCAA
rnacentral:lncRNA from 1 species